GACGAACGCUGGCGGCGUGCCUAAUACAUGCAAGUUGAGCGCUGAAGGUUGGUACUUGUACCGACUGGAUGAGCAGCGAACGGGUGAGUAACGCGUGGGGAAUCUGCCUUUGAGCGGGGGACAACAUUUGGAAACGAAUGCUAAUACCGCAUAAAAACUUUAAACACAAGUUUUAAGUUUGGAAGAUGCAAUUGCAUCACUCAAAGAUGAUCCCGCGUUGUAUUAGCUAGUUGGUGAGGUAAAGGCUCACCAAGGCGAUGAUACAUAGCCGACCUGAGAGGGUGAUCGGCCACAUUGGGACUGAGACACGGCCCAAACUCCUACGGGAGGCAGCAGUAGGGAAUCUUCGGCAAUGGACGAAAGUCUGACCGAGCAACGCCGCGUGAGUGAAGAAGGUUGUCGGAUCGUAAAACUCUGUUGGUAGAGAAGAACGUUGGUGAGAGUGGAAAGCUCAUCAAGUGACGGUAACUACCCAGAAAGGGACGGCUAACUACGUG
rnacentral:rRNA from 1 species